rnacentral:snRNA from 1 species
GUCCUUACCUGGCAGGGGGAGGCUGCUGUGAUCAUCACGGUGGUCCUCCCACUCUGAGGCUCACCCCAUUGAACUCCAGAUCUGAUGCGUCUGCAAUUUCCCCAAACUCGGGCAUUGGGACUACAUCAUUUGUGGUACCAGGUCCGCACCUUCCUCU